rnacentral:rRNA from 1 species
UACGGGGGGGGCAAGCGUUGUUCGGAAUUACUGGGCGUAAAGGGUUAGUAGGUGGCCAACUAAGUCAGACGUGAAAUCCCUCAGCUUAACUGGGGAACUGCGUCUGAGACUGAUUGGCUCGAGGACAGGAGAGGAACGCGGAAUUCCAGGUGUAGCGGUGAAAUGCGUAGAUAUCGUCAAGAACACCUAUAGCGAAGGCAGCUUACUAGGCUGUAACUGACGCUGAGGCACGAAAGUGUGGGGAUCAAACAGG